rnacentral:rRNA from 1 species
GAUAGGUAGGAGCCAUAGAAGUCGGAACGCUAGUUUCGACGGAGGCGUUGGUGGGAUACUACCCUUGCAUUAUGACCACUCUAACCCGCAGCACUGAACGUGCUGGGAGACAGUGUCAGGUGGGCAGUUUGACUGGGGCGGUCGCCUCCUAAAAGGUAACGGAGGCGCCCAAAGGUUCCCUCAGAAUGGUUGGAAAUCAUUCGCAGAGUGUAAAGG